rnacentral:rRNA from 1 species
GACGAACGCUGGCGGCGUGCCUAAUACAUGCAAGUCGAGCGCAGGAAACUGACGGAACUCUUCGGAGGGAAGGCAGCGGAAUGAGCGGCGGACGGGUGAGUAACACGUAAGGAACCUGCCUCAAGGAUUGGGAUAACUCCGAGAAAUCGGAGCUAAUACCGGAUAGUUCAUCGGACCGCAUGGUCCGUUGAUGAAAGGCGCUCCGGCGUCACCUUGAGAUGGCCUUGCGGUGCAUUAGCUAGUUGGUGGGGUAACGGCCCACCAAGGCGACGAUGCAUAGCCGACCUGAGAGGGUGAUCGGCCACACUGGGACCGAGACACGGCCCAGACUCCUACGGGAGGCAGCAGUAGGGAAUCUUCCACAAUGGACGAAAGUCUGAUGGAGCAACGCCGCGUGAGUGAUGAAGGUUUUCGGAUCGUAAAACUCUGUUGUAAGGGAAGAACACGUACGAGAGGGAAUGCUCGUACCUUGACGGUACCUUACGAGAAAGCCACGGCUAACUACGUGCCAGCCGCCGCCGUAACAC